rnacentral:rRNA from 1 species
GACGAACGCUGGCGGUGGGCUUAACACAUGCAAGUCGAACGGCAAGGCACUGCGUGUGUGGGCUGCUCGAUUGGCGAACGGGUGAGUAACACGUGAGUAACGUGCCCUUGACUUUGGGAUAACUUCAGGAAACUGGGGCUAAUACCGGAUAGGAGCUCCUGCUGCAUGGUGGGGGUGGGAAAGUUUCGGCGGUUGGGGCUGGACUCGCGGCUGAUCAGCUUGUUGGUGGGGUAGUGGCUUACCAAGGCUUUGACGGGUAGCCGGCCUGGGAGGGUGACCGGCCACAUUGGGACUGCGAUACGGCCCAGACUCCUACGUGAGGCAGCAGUGGGGAAUAUUGCACAAUGGGCGGAAGCCUGAUGCAGCAACGCCGCGUGCGGGAUGACGGCCUGCGGGUUGUAAACCGCUUCCGCCUGUGACGCAGCGUGAGUGACGGUAAUGGGUAAAGAAGCACCGGCUAACUACGUG